rnacentral:rRNA from 1 species
AUUGAACGCUGGCGGCAUGCCUUACACAUGCAAGUCGAACGGCAGCACGGGGCAACCUGGUGGCGAGUGGCGAACGGGUGAGUAAUGCAUCGGAACGUACCUUUCAGUGGGGGAUAACGUAGCGAAAGUUACGCUAAUACCGCAUAUUCUGUGAGCAGGAAAGCAGGGGAUCGCAAGACCUUGCGCUGAUUGAGCGGCCGAUGUCAGAUUAGCUAGUUGGUGAGGUAAAGGCUCACCAAGGCGACGAUCUGUAGCGGGUCUGAGAGGAUGAUCCGCCACACUGGAACUGAGACACGGUCCAGACUCCUACGGGAGGCAGCAGCGGGGAAUUUUGGACAAUCGGGGCAACCCUGAUCCAGCCAUGCCGCGUGGGUGAAGAAGGCCUUCGGGUUGUAAAGCUCUUUCGGCCGGGAAGAAAUCGCACGGGCUAAUACCCUGUGUGGAUGACGGUACCGGAAUAAGAAGCACCGGCUAACUACGUGCCAGCCGCCGCCGUAACAC